CAACAACCGAAAGGAGGUGAUCCAGUGUCUCAUUGUCUUUCGCCGCGGCCGGCGGUCACGACCUGGAUUCUCGCCUCUGCCGAGGUUUGCGUCGCCUGAGGCGGCGUUCCAGGUCCCUCGCCGGACCCGGCUCGACAAUGGAAGGGCUGCCCUCGCGGGCAGCCCU
rnacentral:sRNA from 1 species